CGCUGGCCUGUGGCACAAAGGCCCUAAGGGCUCCCGAGGUCUCCCCUGGCUGUACUGGGGUGGUCCACAUUGCUUGCUGGCUCUUCACAUCCUUGGCUAGUCCACUCAUCUGUUCCUCAGGUGGUCCUUGGACGUCGACAUCAGAGUGACUGUCAAUCGGUCAGUUGCGGGCAGUAUUUUGCAGGUGACAGCAGCAGCAGCAGCAGCAGCCGUAGCAUAAAAGGCAACAGCAGGGGCUCAAGCAAAAGCAAAGGUCUGCUCCCCGCGUGCCCUUGUUUGCACACCUACCUACUACCCACUGCACACCUGCCACCUGCACACCGCCCGUACGCCAGGCCGCUGCUUACAACGUAUUCGCAUGCCGCCUGCCGGCCGCCAUCAGCACUGCAGGCUUCCAGCUCACCUGGAGGGUUGAAUUGGGUCCCCAGUGGCUCCAGCUUCCAGGCUCCGCCCACUUCGUCAAGCCCACAGCUGCUCAUUUUGCUUCAGGAUUUACCGUAGAAAUUUAACAAAAAUCCCCUGGAGACGACUGAAGCUUGAGGCUCGACAGUCACAGUUGCUGCAGAGUCGUGACUGGGAGCAUCUGAGGUAUUAAUAACAGCUCUUCACACCUGCAAUUUAAAAAUGGCCACCAAGGAAACCAUACUACCAAAAAGAAUUACGAAGAAGAAUGAAAAUUCUGAGGAAGCAGAACUUGAGGAAUUCGAGGUGGAGAAAAUAGUAGACCAGCGUGUAUUAGAUGGGCAGGUACAAUAUCUCUUGAAAUGGAAGGGCUAUUCAGAUGCUGAUAAUACCUGGGAACCAGAAGAGCAUUUAAAUU